rnacentral:rRNA from 1 species
GAUGAACGCUGGCGGCGUGCCUAAUACAUGCAAGUCGAGCGAAUGGAUUAAGAGCUUGCUCUUAUGAAGUUAGCGGCGGACGGGUGAGUAACACGUGGGUAACCUGCCCAUAAGACUGGGAUAACUCCGGGAAACCGGGGCUAAUACCGGAUAACAUUUUGAACCGCAUGGUUCGAAAUUGAAAGGCGGCUUCGGCUGUCACUAAUGGAUGGACCCGCGUCGCAUUAGCGAGUUGGUGAGGUAACGGCUCACCAAGGCAACGAUGCGUAGCCGACCUGAGAGGGUGAUCGGCCACACUGGGACUGAGACACGGCCCAGACUCCUACGGGAGGCAGCAGUAGGGAAUCUUCCGCAAUGGACGAAAGUCUGACGGAGCAACGCCGCGUGAGUGAUGAAGGCUUUCGGGUCGUAAAACUCUGUUGUUAGGGAAGAACAAGUGCUAGUUGAAUAAGCUGGCACCUCGACGGUACCUAACCAGAAAGCCACGGCUAACUACGUGCCAGCAGCCGCCGUAA